UGCGUAGGCGGCUCUUUAAGUCAGUGGUGAAAUCUUGCCGCUUAACGGUAAAAUUGCCAUUGAUACUGAAGAGCUUGAGUACAGUUGAGGUAAGCGGAAUGUGUAGUGUAGCGGUGAAAUGCUUAGAUAUUACACAGAACACCAAUUGCGAAGGCAGCUUACUAAACUGUUACUGACGCUGAUGCACGAAAGCGUGGGGAGCGAACAGGAUUAGAUACCCUGGUAGUCCACGCCGUAAACGAUGCUCACUCGCUGUUUGCGAUACACAGCAAGCGGCCAAGCGAAAGCAUUAAGUGAGCCACCUGGGGAUACGAUCGCAAGGUUGAA
rnacentral:rRNA from 1 species